rnacentral:rRNA from 1 species
GAUGAACGCUGGCGGCGCGCCUAACACAUGCAAGUCGAACGGCACCCCUCCUCGGAGGGAAGCGAGUGGCGACCGGCUGAGUAACACGUGGAGAACCUGCCCCCUCCCCUGGGAUAGCCGCCCGAAAGGACGGGUAAUACCGGAUACCCCGGGGUGCCGCAUGGCACCCCGGCUAAAGCCCCGACGGGGGGGGAUGGCUCCGCGGCCCAUCAGGUAGACGGCGGGGUGACGGCCCACCGUGCCGACAACGGGUAGCCGGGUUGAGAGACCGACCGGCCAGAUUGGGACUGAGACACGGCCCAGACUCCUACGGGAGGCAGCAGUGGGGAAUCUUGCGCAAUGGGGGGAACCCUGACGCAGCGACGCCGCGUGCGGGACGGAGGCCUUCGGGUCGUAAACCGCUUUCAGCAGGGAAGAGUCAAGACUGUACCUGCAGAAGAAGCCCCGGCUAACUACGUG